rnacentral:rRNA from 1 species
AGGGCGGGUGCUAUACAUGCAGUCGAGCGGACAGAUGGGAGCUUGCUCCCUGAUGUUAGCGGCGGACGGGUGAGUAACACGUGGGUAACCUGCCUGUAAGACUGGGAUAACUCCGGGAAACCGGGGCUAAUACCGGAUGGUUGUUUGAACCGCAUGGUUCAAACAUAAAAGGUGGCUUCGGCUACCACUUACAGAUGGACCCGCGGCGCAUUAGCUAGUUGGUGAGGUAACGGCUCACCAAGGCAACGAUGCGUAGCCGACCUGAGAGGGUGAUCGGCCACACUGGGACUGAGACACGGCCCAGACUCCUACGGGAGGCAGCAGUAGGGAAUCUUCCGCAAUGGACGAAAGUCUGACGGAGCAACGCCGCGUGAGUGAUGAAGGUUUUCGGAUCGUAAAGCUCUGUUGUUAGGGAAGAACAAGUACCGUUCGAAUAGGGCGGUACCUUGACGGUACCUAACCAGAAAGCCACGGCUAACUACGUGCCAGCAGCCGCGGUAAUACGUAGGUGGCAAGCGUUGUCCGGAAUUAUUGGGCGUAAAGGGCUCGCAGGCGGUUUCUUAAGUCUGAUGUGAAAGCCCCCGGCUCAACCGGGGAGGGUCAUUGGAAACUGGGGAACUUGAGUGCAGAAGAGGAGAGUGGAAUUCCACGUGUAGC